ACCUGCAUAGUAUAGGCGUUAGUAUAUUGGAUUUUCAAAGGUAAAAACAAUUUGAUCUCUCCAAAGACUCGGGUUCAAAUCCCGGUGCAGGUA
rnacentral:tRNA from 1 species